UUUGGAAAGAGGAGAGCAAGAGGUGAGUUAACACAGAAAGUUUUAUCUAUAGACUGAACAAGAAGCCGUUUUAAUGUCAUGUACUGAUUGCUGCUUAAAAGCAAACUGAAUUCUUCAGGAGUCAUCGGGAUAAGAGGUAGAGGAACUCGCAUCAGGAGCUAAUACACUGCUUUCACCCUUAGCUUUGCUAUGACAGUAACAAGUACUAUUAAUAGGAUGGCACAACUCCUCAUCACUCUGCACAGGUGAUAGGUGCAGCAGCUUUUGUUUGGCCGGCCAAAGGCCUUGUGUGCCAAUAACCUUUGUUAGAGGGGAAUAGUACUACCAGCAGUAUCUAAAAUGAGAGCAAAGUACAGAGUGUCCUUCCCUAUAGCAGGAAUAGAAGUGGAAUCGCUGGCAAGAGCACUGUAUUGUGCCCACUUAAAUAUGGUACCAAGAGCAAUGGACGCAUGCUGAGCUGGAAAAUUUUUCUCUUUCUAGAUCACAGCACCAAGUAAGCUCACUGACAACUCCACCAUCACAUGAGUGAAUCUGCUCCAUACCCAGGACUGAUCCCUGCUAGGAACUUACACGUCUGGAAAUGCAGUUUAUUACCAGUGACUCCUUUUAGCAAUGGAGUCAGACAGAGGAGAUGCUGCAUGGAAGUUUCUGGUUUACCUUGGGUUUGAUUUUGUGAUGCAAGGACAAGCUCUCACUGGGUUUCUGCUCUGUGUAUGGGACGUGUGUGUAGCUACUACUGGGUAGGUAAAGGUUUAAGGAGGCUUCUGGGACUUUUCUUUAGAAGAGAAUGAGAGAGCUCUUGGAAAACCUAUGAGAGCUUAAUAUCCCCGAGGUCAUUGUGGCUGUAUCAAGUGUGGCUGAGAUUGGCCAGUUGGUUCAGACGUUGUUGGAGGACAAGGGGAUGAGGACACAGCACAGCGAUUGCAUAAGCCUUAUUUUUAGCCUGGCUUCCUAUGGGAAGAAAAGCUGGCUUGCAAUGGCAGGCUUUCCUACAGCAGAUAGGACGUUCCUGCGAAAAGAAGAUGGAAACUAUAAACACUGGGCUUUUACCUGUCUGCCUCCAGCCAGCAGGAAGGUUCCCGCAUUAGAGACCUGCUCACUUUAGCUUAUUGUUAUGGGCUUCCCUACUGGACUUCCAGCUAAUAUUGGCAGGAAUACAAGUGGUGAGAAGGCAAGACCCAGCUCCCUCUGACAUCUCAUUGACCUUGGAAGAUAUUUGGAUUGCAGCCCAAAGGAAAAAUGAUAUAAUACAUCUUCAGGAAAGAAUUUA